rnacentral:lncRNA from 1 species
CGGUAACGUGCGCAUAGAACGGCCAUCAUGAUCAAAUAUUUUAGUAAAAAAUGCUGUGUAAGGCUGACCGUUUAUUAAGGUUUCUUUUUUGUUAUCAUAAAGUUGCAGACAAAGGCGCGUUGACGAGGAUCUGGCGUCGGAAUAUGAGACCGAUGUUGAAGUUCGUGUCGCCGUCAGCAAGGGCGUGGCUCCCCAGGAAUCCAAGAUCCUGUCAACCAAACACUGCACGGGAGGAAAGGACGAGGAGGGGAGCCCAGAAGAAGAGGGAAAGGGGUUCUUCGAGGGUACUCCGUCGUCGUCGGUGGCGCCGCCUCUACCGCCGUCACCGCAAGUCCAUCUUCAUCCGUGAGCACUCCCACUUAAAACGUCAAUUUCCGAUGAAGUCACAGAACAUUUUGCAGUAAAAUGAAAGGAUCUGCUCAAACCCGUUCUCAUAAAAAUAGCAUUUUAAGUCAAUUAUUCUCAGUUCAGGAGGUUUACUCAUAAAUAAGUAAACGUCCUGCAGUUUGAAUUGAUUAUUUCACUCGUAUUGGGGAUAAAAAUAUGAUCUAAGCCUCGAAUGCACGAAUCUCCAGGCGUGAUCGGGCCCGCGCGGCGGCGCCGCCAGCCCCGCCAGAUUCUUCAACGCCGGAGAAGAACAUAGAGGAAGAGAGAGGACGGCAGGUUAGGAGGGAGGAGGAGGAGCUUACCGAGGGGGAGGAGACCAAGACCGUCGAGGUGGUGGAGGAAGCCCUGGAGGAGACCGAGAUAACGCCGCCGGAUGAGGUGGUCAAGCCUUCCCCGCUGCCGGCGGAGAUCGCCGCCGAGCGGGAGGAGGAGACGUCAACGAAGAAG